GCCUGCCCAGUGACCAAAAGUUAAACGGCCGCGGUAUCUUGACCGUGCGAAGGUAGCAUAAUCAUUUGUCUCUUAAAUAGAGACUAGUAUGAAUGGCAAGACGGAACUCUACUGUCUCCUUACCCCAUCCUUGAAUUUCACUUCCCCGUGAAGAGGCGGGGAUCACUUCGUUAGACGAGAAGACCCUGUCGAGCUUGUAACAAAGUACAAGAUUCUAAACCUCUAAUUUAAGCUUCUAACUAUCAAAAACUUAAAGCUAAAUUAGAAAAAGAAAUCUUUACUAGUUUUGGUUGGGGCAACCGCGGAGAAAGCAAAACCUCCGUUACCAUAAUUUAAACAAAGAGAAAUACCUCUAAUACAACUCAAGACAAUAAAUGAUCCACCUAGGUGAUCAAAAGAAAAAGUUACCGCAGGGAUAACAGCGUUAUCUUCUUUGAGAGUCCAUAUUGACAAGAAGGUUUGCGACCUCGAUGUUGGAUCGGGACAUCCCAGAGGUGCAGAAGCUUUUAAGGGUUGGUCUGUUCGA
rnacentral:rRNA from 1 species